CUUUUACACUCUCUGCUUCCUAUCUUCCUGUGAUAAGCAGACAUAAGAUCUCUUAUCUCUUCCUCAACACUGUGCUAGGAGGGAUGGGAUCCACCACCCCAUGGAGCUUAUGGUCAUCAUUGGCUCUUAGCCUCACAUCUUCUCCCUCCAGAAAAGAAUAGUCUCUGCUUGAGAGAUGUUCAAAAGUCCUGGAGAAGGGCUCUGGCUGGCAUUGCAUGUUGAGAUGUUCCUUUCUGAGACAAGGGCCAUAGGAUCUUUGAGGCAGAUAUCAUGCAACCUUGUGCCGUUGGUAUGGAACAUUGGAAUAUUGGUAUGGAACAAUGUGGAAAUUGAAAAUGCUGGUGAGGUUCAGAGGUGAGAAAACUGACACACAGCCAGUGAUUUUAUGACUUACCUGAGGUUAUACGAAUACACAGAAAGAAACUUCUGGAAGUAUUUGUUCUAAAAGUUGCAAGACUACAGUGGGUGAUGUUUGUUCUUUUGCCUGCCUAUCAUUUUUUUUUUAGAUUUAUUUAUUUAUUCAUGAGAGACACAAAGAGAGAGGCAGAGACACAGGCAGAGGGAGAAGCAGUCUCCUCGCAGGGAGCCCAAUGUGGGACUUGAUCCCAGAUCCUGGGGUCACACCCUGAGCCAAAGGCAGGCGCUCAACCACUGAGCCACCCAGGCAUCCCCUGUGUAUCAUUUCUAAAAAACAAUUUGUAUGACUUAUGCAACAAAAUAAAAGGGGAGGCUGUCAGAGUUUUAUGCUCAUUUGGAGUCUGAAUACUGGAGGCCUUGGGAUCAUAUACUCUGCUCUAUUUGGGAAUGGAACAAUAACCCAUUAGGAUUUGCAGAUGGUUCUGUGCAUAAUAUGAGACAGCAGCAAAUUGUUAUUUGGUUGGUGGGGCAAAGUGAUUAUGAAAAAAUGUCCUUUGAAAGAACCCUUGCCCUUAGGGGCUAUCUCCCUUUUACUAGGGUGGGUCUUCAAACUGCCCAACCAUGGUAGGCUAACUCUGUCAGGGUCCAGCCCUAGAAAAGACAGGCUUGCAGGAAUUAUGUCUUCAUCCAUUUGGAUCCAUGAGAAUCAGGGAUCUGGCACCAGCUUGCUCCAGUAUUGUGUUGAACUGCUAUUUUUGAUUGGU